CCUUCUAACAUUCAUGCAUCCAUCUAAACUUUCGCAUUUAUAACAUUAGUAAGACGCUAUUCUUAUCGUUGCAUAAAGUGUUCGAGGACGAGGACGGGCGUACAAGCGGCCUCACAGAAAUGCAUUCACGAGCACGCACGAGAACCACUCGAGGCACAUUUCGAAUACAUCCUGUAGCGGACUAGCGCUUCUAUACCGACAUCUCCUUGUGUAUUACAAAUAUUAUUUGAAUACACUGGAUAACAAUUACACAUAUUCACAUGAUAAGUAAAGAAAUUAAAAUCCCUGUUCAUAUUAUUAAGCUUAAAAACAACGUCAUAAGUAUUGUAACGAUGUGACUAUAAAUAAAUAAUAUACAUGGUGAUAUCCUGUGGAAAAUAAUGAACAAAACGAGUAAUAAGUCUGGGCAUAAUUUAGGAAGUUUGUAUGAAAGUUCUUUCUUAAGGCGCAAAAGGAGUGCAUGAGCAAGGUAACGUCGGCGGCGGUAAACAUCGUCAUAAAGGCUGCACUGUGACUCCGCACGCCGCCAGGUUGAAGCAGCUGCUGUAGCUCUCUAUGGAGUUAUUAAUAUUGAAGCAUGUUGCGACCCGGGUAAAUACACCCAAUGACGCGUACCCACAAUAUCAGAUUCAGUACAAUCUUAAAGCACCACCAACCUUAUAUUCCAUUAUUAGUGUUUUGUUUUUAACUUUCUUGCUAUCCAAAAUGUUAA